CCCUUGUCUUAACCUGAAAAUAAUGACUCGGAUAUAAUUAGAAAUCUGAUGAGAGUUUAAAAUUCUGGGAGAGGACCAAAAACAUCAGUUACGGUGCUUAGGAGGGAAAUGAAGAAUUAUUUUUCUGUAAUCAAGAUGGAUCUGAGAACGCUGUCUGGGCUUGGUGCCAAGUGCUGGUAUUUCACAGCGGCGACCGCCUCACACGGGCUGUGGGAAGCAGGAGGGAGACUCUCUUAGGGUGCCACUACUAUGGAGACACAGCUGGGCUGAACAAGAUUUGCUUCAAACGACAACAAGAGAGACAGAAAGUAUCUGGUUCAACCGCUGCCCAAGCAGGCAGGCACCAGAAGAGCUAGCAGCCAAUCCGGCCAUGCUCGAAGCCAGCUUUGCAGCUCAGCCAAUCAGUGACAUCACUGAUCUUUAGGAAUUUUACUGGGAUAAUUCGAAGUAUCUAUCCAAAUGGUUAUUGAUCAUUAAAAUGCCAUUGUAAAGGGAUGACUCAGAAAUAACAGAGUUUGUUGCUGCUUCUGAGACAAAGAACUCUUGAUGUCAAGAUUUGAAGACAGAAGAAAUGAAAUACAGAAUAUGGGUAUCCUUGAAGGUUAAUCAGAGAACCACUCACAUGCCUCAAGGGAAAAACUUAAAAUGGAUAUGAGAAGUGAAGAAAGUGAUCAUAGGAGAAAAUCAUCUCAGAUCAACCACUUCAGAAGAACCAGAUUCCACUUCUGUGGCCAGGACUUUUAUGUUAUGGCUGGUCCGAUUGUUUUACCCUGCGUUCUAUGCUACUAAACCUUGGAUCAUUCCUAAAGUACAAAUUCUGUUCUCGAACCACAAACAAGGCUAAAAGAUCGGAGGAAAUUCAGUGAAUAUGCAGGAUUGGGAUUGUGUAUUUUCAAAAGUGUCUGAUGAUUUGUGGGCACCAAAUGGCUAUUCUGUGGAGUCAUCUCUCCUUGCCUUUGAAUUAGUUUUCCCUUGGCCAUGAGUCAACAUCAAUAUUUUAUACAUCCAAAUUGGGUGUGCUCUAGUGAGGUCCGCCAAGUACACUGACGAAGAUCGCCCAAAUAUAUACAUGAGACAAAGAGAUGAUGUAUUUUUUUCAGCACUUAGAUGCAUCAUAAAAUGGAAACCCUCUUCCUACUUUGGAAGAAAUUUACUCAACUUGUAUGUUCUCUCUAGUUCCUUUCCUCCCAUUGAAUUUUAUGACAUAUUAUUUUAAAUAAAUGUAAUGAAGUAAUUCUGAAAGAGUAAAUUGCUAAUAAAUAAUAGGACUAUGUGUUGCUAAAUUUGAGAGGUAAAAAAGAUGAUCCCUACCUUAUCUCUUAUUGACUUUAGAAAAUGCUCUUUAGAAAAUGCUCUUACACUUUAUAAGAUGUGCAUCUAUAAGAAGUACCACAUCUAUAAGAAUGUAUAUUUUAUUAGUCAAUGUUGAGAUAAAGAACUGCUUAUAAAGUUUAUUUAAAGGCCUUUAUGACUGACUCAGGGAGGAAAUUUCUAGUGGGCUUUUUCUUAAUGUCUUCUUGUAGAAUUAACAUAGAUAUUAAAAAAGAUUGUCAU